rnacentral:rRNA from 1 species
GCAAGUCGAGCGAGGCUUAGAGCCGAGCGGCGAACGGCUGCGUAACACGUUGGAACCUGCCCUAAACUCAGGGAUAAUUCAUCGAAAGGUGAACUAAUACCGGAUAGUCCCGCAAGGGUAAAGAUUUAUCGGUUUAGGAGGGGCCUGCGGCCUAUCAGUUAGUUGGUGAGGUAAUAGCUCACCAAGACUAUGACGGGUAGCUGAUCUGAGAGGAUGAUC